rnacentral:rRNA from 1 species
GUUGUAUGGUUAAGUGACUAAGCGUACACGGUGGAUGCCUGGGCAGUCAGAGGCGAUGAAGGACGUACUAACUUGCGAUAAGCGCAGAUAAGGCAGUAAGAGCCGUUUGAGUCUGCGAUUUCCGAAUGGGGAAACCCAACUGCAUAAGCAGUUACUGUUAACUGAAUACAUAGGUUAACAGAGCAAACCGGGGGAACUGAAACAUCUAAGUACCCCGAGGAGAAGAAAUCAACCGAGAUUCCGGUAGUAGCGGCGAGCGAACCUGGAUUAGCCCUUAAGCACUCGGUGAAGUAGGUGAACAAGCUGGAAAGCUUGGCGAUACAGGGUGAUAGCCCCGUAACCGACGCUUCAUCGAGCGUGAAAUCGAGUAGGGCGGGACACGUGAUAUCCUGUCUGAAUAUGGGGGGACCAUCCUCCAAGGCUAAAUACUCCUGACUGACCGAUAGUGAACCAGUACCGUGAGGGAAAGGCGAAAAGAACCCCUGUGAGGGGAGUGAAAUAGAACCUGAAACCGUGUACGUACAAGCAGUAGGAGCACCUUCGUGGUGUGACUGCGUACCUUUUGUAUAAUGGGUCAGCGACUUAUAUUCAGUGGCAAGGUUAACCGUAUAGGGGAGCCGUAGCGAAAGCGAGUCUUAACUGGGCGCUCAGUCUCUGGAUAUAGACCCGAAACCGGGUGAUCUAGCCAUGGGCAGGUUGAAGGUUGAGUAACAUCAACUGGAGGACCGAACCGACUAAUGUUGAAAAAUUAGCGGAUGACUUGUGGCUAGGGGUGAAAGGCCAAUCAAACUCGGAGAUAGCUGGUUCUCCCCGAAAGCUAUUUAGGUAGCGCCUCGGACGAAUACUACUGGGGGUAGAGCACUGUUAAGGCUAGGGGGUCAUCCCGACUUACCAACCCUUUGCAAACUC